rnacentral:rRNA from 1 species
GACGAAGGGGGCUAGCGUUGUUCGGAAUUACUGGGCGUAAAGCGCGUGUAGGCGGCUUGGCAAGUCGGGUGUGAAAGCCCCGGGCUCAACCUGGGAAGUGCACUCGAAACUGCUUCGCUUGAGUACUGGAGAGGGUAGUGGAAUUCUCGGUGUAGAGGUGAAAUUCGUAGAUAUCGAGAGGAACAUCGGUGGCGAAGGCGGCUACCUGGACAGUUACUGACGCUGAGACGCGAAAGCGUGGGGAGCAAACAGG